AUUAAGUAGUUGUUAUAGAAAUUAGAAAUAUUAAUAACUUCUAACAUCUAUGUUUUUUCAGGAUCUCCACAACUUCUGUUCUGUUUCUCUGAUAUCCACUAGCAAUAACAUUGCUUCUGCUGCGUAAAGCGAGAGGAAGUAUCUGCCCAGAUGUUCUCCCCAGCUGCAGCUUUGCUGGCUGAGAUGGGAAAAAUGGAAACCUGCAGGCCAAGACAAUAACCCGUGGGACACCUGCAGUCACUUUGGACCCAUUCACAUCUCAGUGAGCAGUUUGCCAAGGAGUGUGUGUGGGGCAUUCCUUGGAGAAGCUAUUGCAUUGCUCAAGCAAUAGAAGUGCAAUUCCAAUGUUAGUAGAGGGAUGCAGCAGACAUCGCUAUGGAACAGAUCAAGGACUGGGCAAACAUUUGUUUACAUGACAGAAUAAAAACC
rnacentral:lncRNA from 1 species